AUUGAACGCUGGCGGCAGGCUUAACACAUGCAAGUCGAACGGUAACAGAGAAUAGCUUGCUAUUUUGCUGACAAGUGGCGGACGGGUGAGUAAUGCUUGGGAAUUUACCUUGUUGUGGGGGACAACAGUUGGAAACGACUGCUAAUACCGCAUAAUGUCUUAGGACCAAAGGUGGCCUCUAUUUAUAUGCUAUCGCGACAAGAUGAGCCCAAGUGGGAUUAGCUAGUUGGUAAGGUAAAGGCUUACCAAGGCGACGAUCCCUAGCUGGUCUUAGAGGAUGACCAGCCACACUGGAACUGAGACACGGUCCAGACUCCUACGGGAGGCAGCAGUGGGGAAUAUUGGACAAUGGGCGGAAGCCUGAUCCAGCCAUCCCGCGUGUAGGAAUAAGGCCCUAUGGGUUGUAAACUACUUUAUUAGGAGAAAACUUUGAUUUAUCAGAGCUUGACGGUACCUAAGGAAUAAGCACCGGCUAACUCCGUGCCAGCAGCCGCGGU
rnacentral:rRNA from 1 species